UCUGUCUCUGGCUGGAGCCCUCAAGAAGGUAGAGACCUGCUUGAACCUCCAAGAGUCAAUUUUCUACACCAGCAGCAUAGCGGUCAGAUGAGUCUGGUGCAGGAGCACUUGUAAAGGGACAGAAAGAGGAACCAAUUAGAGAGAAAACAAAUCAAAGGAUGAAAGGGAAGCGGAAAUGCCUCUCAUAUGGAGCAGACAUGGAGGUAAAGUUGAGCAGACUCAGCAGGACACCCUUCUCCAGAAAGUGUGUCUUAAUUAUGUUACUGGGGACUGCAGCCGUCUUUUCUCUCUGGAUUAGCAACCAGCAUUCCAAGCAGCAGGGACCGUCAGCCCCUGGGAUUUUCUCCUGUGAAGAUUCAUGGAUUAUGGUGAGAAUGACUCUGAAUUGGGAAAUGGGAGCCUUGGGUCCCU
rnacentral:lncRNA from 1 species